GUGAGUUAGAUAUCGUAUCCUUCCGCUUAAUGGUAAUGAUAUGUAAUCUAGCUUACAG
rfam:Caenorhabditis brenneri strain PB2801 C_brenneri-6.0.1_Cont32.16, whole genome shotgun sequence.